AAUUAUGGUGGGCUGGAUGAGGCAACCUUCGGGUUGGCCGUGUAUUGCGAGCGGUAGUCUCAACCUUGUUCAGCUCACCACCCAU
rnacentral:antisense_RNA from 1 species